rnacentral:rRNA from 1 species
UCGAGGAUCUUCGGCAAUGGGCGCAAGCCUGACCGAGCGACGCCGCGUGCGCGAUGAAGGCCUUCGGGUUGUAAAGCGCUGUCGAGGGGGAGGAAAGCCCGCAAGGGCCUGACCUAUCCCUGGAGGAAGCACGGGCUAAGUUCGUGCCAGCAGCCGCGGUAAGACGAACCGUGCGAACGUUAUUCGGAAUCACUGGGCUUAAAGGGCGCGUAGGCGGGCGGACAAGUCGGGGGUGAAAUCGUUCGGCCCAACCGGACAAGGGCCCCCGAUACUGGCCGUCUCGAGGGAGGUAGGGGUCGAUGGAACUUCCGGUGGAGCGGUGAAAUGCGUAGAUAUCGGAAGGAACGCCGGUGGCGAAAGCGAUCGACUGGACCUCUUCUGACGCUGAGGCGCGAAAGCCAGGGGAGCAAACGGGAUUAGAUACCCCCGUAGUCC